rnacentral:sRNA from 1 species
GUUGCGCCCGAUGCCAUUAGGUUGAGGGCACGUCUGCCUGGGUGUCACAUAUCGAAGCCCCUUGCCAAUUUCCUAUUGAAUAGGUAUUGUGUGCAGGGUGAAUAUGUUGGCCUCCCGUGAGCUCUGUCUCAUGGUUGGUUGAAAUUUGAGACCUUGGUAGGGUGUGCCAUGAUAGAUGGUGGAUGUGUGACCCACGAGACCAAAUCAUGUGCAGCUCUAUUGAAUGUGGACUCUUUUACCCACAUGCGUUUUGUAACGCUCGUGAUGAGACCUCAGGUCAGGCGGGGCUACCCGCUGAAUUUAAGCAUAUCAAUAAGCGGAGGAAAAGAAACUAACAAGGAUUCCCUUAGUAACGGCGAGCGAACCGGGAUAAGCCCACCAUGAGAAUCGGUCGCCCUCGG